rnacentral:rRNA from 1 species
CCAGGUAAAUCCGGUUCACUUUAACACUGAGGCGUGAUGACGAGGCACUACGGUGCUGAAGCAACAAAUGCCCUGCUUCCAGGAAAAGCCUCUAAGCAUCAGGUAACAUCAAAUCGUACCCCAAACCGACACAGGUGGUCAGGUAGAGAAUACCAAGGCGCUUGAGAGAACUCGGGUGAAGGAACUAGGCAAAAUGGUGCCGUAACUUCGGGAGAAGGCACGCUGACACGUAGGUGAAGUGAUUUACUCAUGGAGCUGAAGUCAGUCGAAGAUACCAGCUGGCUGCAACUGUUUAUUAAAAACACAGCACUGUGCAAACACGAAAGUGGACGUAUACGGUGUGACGCCUGCCCGGUGCCGGAAGGUUAAUUGAUGGGGUCAGCGCAAGCGAAGCUCCUGAUCGAAGCCCCGGUAAACGGCGGCCGUAACUAUAACGGUCCUAAGGUAGCGAAAUUCCUUGUCGGGUAAGUUCCGACCUGCACGAAUGGCGUAAUGAUGGCCAGGCUGUCUCCACCCGAGACUCAGUGAAAUUGAACUCGCUGUGAAGAUGCAGUGUACCCGCGGCAAGACGGAAAGACCCCGUGAACCUUUACUAUAGCUUGACACUGAACAUUGAGCCUUGAUGUGUAGGAUAGGUGGGAGGCUUUGAAGUGUGGACGCCAGUCUGCAUGGAGCCGACCUUGAAAUACCACCCUUUAAUGUUUGAUGUUCUAACGUGGACCCGUAAUCCGGGUUGCGGACAGUGUCUGGUGGGUAGUUUGACUGGGGCGGUCUCCUCCUAAAGAGUAACGGAGGAGCACGAAGGUUGGCUAAUCCUGGUCGGACAUCAGGAGGUUAGUGCAAUGGCAUAAGCCAGCUUGACUGCGAGCGUGACGGCGCGAGCAGGUGCGAAAGCAGGUCAUAGUGAUCCGGUGGUUCUGAAUGGAAGGGCCAUCGCUCAACGGAUAAAAGGUACUCCGGGGAUAACAGGCUGAUACCGCCCAAGAGUUCAUAUCGACGGCGGUGUUUGGCACCUCGAUGUCGGCUCAUCACAUCCUGGGGCUGAAGUAGGUCCCAAGGGUAUGGCUGUUCGCCAUUUAAAGUGGUACGCGAGCUGGGUUUAGAACGUCGUGAGACAGUUCGGUCCCUAUCUGCCGUGGGCGCUGGAGAACUGAGGGGGGCUGCUCCUAGUACGAGAGGACCGGAGUGGACGCAUCACUGGUGUUCGGGUUGUCAUGCCAAUGGCACUGCCCGGUAGCUAAAUGCGGAAGAGAUAAGUGCUGAAAGCAUCUAAGCACGAAACUUGCCCCGA